AGUCUGUAUUUUCAACUCUUCGGCUCUAGACCACCAGCACUGAGGACGAUGAAAAUUUUUUGGAUAGCAUUGAAGAGUUCAAAAGGUCGUAUGAAGUGUUUUGCCUGAAGCUUCAGUGAAGUAAAAUUGGUUUCUUCUGAGAAUAAGGUUGUUUAGGCCACCAUCCCUGGAACAAAUAUUAUCCCUUCCUGCAAUUCCAUUGUCUGCCGGUGUUACCGGCAGAGCUACUUUGAGUGCUGGGCAGGAGCUGAAGCCACGAUGGGCAGGGGGUUCAUUCUGGGGAGUGGCUGGGAGGGGAGAUUCUUAGACCUCUGAGCCUGCAGCUCUGAGCUCUGAGUUGAAGCUCUGCUCUCCAAAGCAAGGGUGGCUCAGAAGCGCUUUGGGGUCAUCUGUCUUCGCCAGCCUCACCUCACUCUUAUUCUCUGAGGAUGUUUAGGAAGAAAUGAAAAUUAUGUGGCUUAGUCUCAGCAUAGCAAGAACUGUGGGGAAGAUCAUUAACUUUCUAACCUGAUUUCUUCUGUGACUUCAGAGGCUUCCUUAACCUCCAGUUAGAAAUUUUUAUCAGGCAUAUUUGAUUAUUAUGUAUCAAGUAUCUGCCUUGUGCCAUUCGCUGUUUGAGGCAGUUAGAAACAGUGAUGGGCAUGUCAGAUGAAACCCUGCUCUGACGGACCUAAAAUCCUAGUGAGUGAUAAUUAAUAUUUAUACUUUAUCUUUUCACUUAGUGAUUAAUGUUCAAAAGAAAAGCACUCAUAUCAGAAUGAGGUACUUAUUCUUCAAAAAUUAUGAUAGAUUCUCUUUGUAUUUUAAAAAUAUUUUGGUGGUAUAUAAUAGAGUCAGUUUCUUCAACAGAGCUACAAGCUUGAUCCCCUUGUUGGGAAAUAUAUGUUACAAGGGCAACAUUAGAAACCCCCAUGAUCCAGUCACCUCCCACCAGGUCCUUCCCCCAACGUUAGGGAUUACAACUCAACAUGAGAUUUGGGUGGGACACGGAGCCAAACCAUAUCAGUUGUUAACUCAGCUCUCGUGUGCUAUAUCCUUUCCUUCGUGGGAUCCCAUUAAAAACAUUAAAUGAAGAAACAUAACAGCCAAGGGAAAGAUGGAAGGACCCUUCCACGGAAAAAAAAAAUGGAACAAAUAGCUUGAAGGAAAAUGAGAAGGAAAACCUGUUGAAGGAUGACACCGAUCUGGAAGAGGAUGCCCAGAGUGUAAAGAAGGAGAUGGGGAUGGGCAACAGGGCUCCAGAGGGCUACCAGGCUGUGCGUUCACAGGUCGGAGGAGCAGAAAAUGCGUCCAUCGCAACAAGAAGGGGGACUACUGUGAGUGGAAAGCUUGCUCAUGGAGAGGGAGACAUUCACUCCUCUCACUGUCCCCUAUCCCUGCUGUCCCAAGGAGAGAGCACCCCAGUUAUGUGAUUGAGUGUAGUAUUUUUUAAAUGUCAGUACUGGUUUGAUUUUUAACUAAGUAAAAAUGGAAAAUUAAACAAAAAGUACAGGGUAUCUGUCAACUUCCCAGAACAU